rnacentral:lncRNA from 1 species
UUGGCAUUAGUGCAUUUGAGGCAUUGAUUAUGCAUUUGGUAUUGUGCAGCAGAGGCACAUUGACCCUGGUAGAUAGGGUAUCCUCUUGUGAGGAUUGGAUCAUACUCACUAGUCUGUUUUUGCUUGUCGGUGGUCGCUCCACCGAGGCACGAGUCUCCGGAGUUCUUCACUAGGGGCAGACGUAGUUGUCCCGCAGACGGUCUCGGUGUGCGAGUGCAGAUUCUCCUCACCUAUGAGAUUGAAAAUGAGUCAGGGUUGACCCCGGGGUGGCAACCUUCGGGUUAGCCAUGAGAUUGGAUACUAUCGAGGCAUAGUUGCACGACGCACUAUGUAGUAGCUCGUUCAUUCGGAUUAUUGAGGCAUAGUAGCAUGUGCAGAUACAUCACUAUGUAGUAGCUCAUUUCCAAGCAGAUUGGGUAAAGAAUAUGAAUGGCAUAGCAGAUUUGCAUUCAUACCUUGAGUUGACAUUGAGACAUAGUAGCAUGUUGUAGAUACAUCACUAUGUAGUAGCUCAUUUCUAUUAUUGUUGAAGCAUAGUAUCAUGAUUAGUAGAAUAUCAUUGCUAUGUUCAUGCAUUCCAUGAUUACAGAGGCAUAGUAGCAUGUGUAUAUUCCAUUACUAUGUAGCAGCUCGUACUUAGUAGAGCGAGAUUGAGUCGGGCGAGGAGCGGGGUAGCUCUUUGCCUAGGACCUUCGAGAUUGAGUCGGGCAAGGAGCGGGGUAGCUCUUUGUCUAGGACCUUUGAGAUUUGAGAUCUUAGGCAAGUUGGCCUAGUCGAUUGGGUUGUAACAUGAAUAGCAUAAGUGGAUUGCAUUCAUGCCAUGAUUGGACAUAGUAGA